AGAGUUUGAUCCUGGCUCAGGAUGAACGCUGGCUGUGUGCCUAAUACAUGCAUGUUGAACGAAGCUAAAAGUGCUUGCACUUUAAGACUUAGUAGCGAAUGGGUGAGUAACACGUACUUAACCUACCCCCAAGUUUGGGAUAACGUUUGGAAACGAACGCUAAUACCGAAUACGUAUUUUUAUCGCAUGAUAGAAAUAUAAAAGGAGCUUCGGCUUCGCUAGGGGAUGGGAGUGCGCUACAUUAGUUAGUUGGUAGGGUAAUGGCCUACCAAGACUAUGAUGUAUAGCGGGGCCGAGAGGCUGAUCCGCCACACUGGGACUGAGAUACGGCCCAGACUCCUACGGGAGGCAGCAGUAGGGAAUUUUCCACAAUGAACGAAAGUUUGAUGGAGCGACACAGCGUGCAGGAUGAAGGUCUUCGGAUCGUAAACUGCUGUUAUAAGAGAAGAAAAAAUUUGGGAGGUAAUGCCCAAAUCUUGACGGUACCUUAUCAGAAAGCGACGGCUAACUAUGUGCCAGCAGCCGCGGUAAU
rnacentral:rRNA from 1 species